rnacentral:rRNA from 1 species
AACGCUAGCUACAGGCUUAACACAUGCAAGUCGAGGGGCAGCAUGGUCUUAGCUUGCUAAGGCCGAUGGCGACCGGCGCACGGGUGAGUAACACGUAUCCAACCUGCCGUCUACUCUUGGACAGCCUUCUGAAAGGAAGAUUAAUACAAGAUGGCAUCAUGAGUCCGCAUGUUCACAUGAUUAAAGGUAUUCCGGUAGACGAUGGGGAUGCGUUCCAUUAGGUAGUAGGCGGGGUAACGGCCCACCUAGUCUUCGAUGGAUAGGGGUUCUGAGAGGAAGGUCCCCCACAUUGGAACUGAGACACGGUCCAAACUCCUACGGGAGGCAGCAGUGAGGAAUAUUGGUCAAUGGGCGAGAGUCUGAACCAGCCAAGUAGCGUGAAGGAUGACUGCCCUAUGGGUUGUAAACUUCUUUUAUAAAGGAAUAAAGUCGGGUAUGCAUACCCGUUUGCAUGUACUUUAUGAAUAAGGAUCGGCUAACUCCGUGCCAGCAGCCGCGGUAAUACGGAGGAUCCGAGCGUUAUCCGGAUUUAUUGGGUUUAAAGGGAGCGUAGAUGGAUGUUUAAGUCAGUUGUGAAAGUUUGCGGCUCAACCGUAAAAUUGCAGUUGAUACUGGAUAUCUUGAGUGCAGUUGAGGCAGGCGGAAUUCGUGGUGUAGCGGUGAAAUGCUUAGAUAUCACGAAGAACUCCGAUUGCGAAGGCAGCCUGCUAAGCUGCAACUGACAUUGAGGCUCGAAAGUGUGGGUAUCAAACAGGAUUAGAUACCCUGGUAGUCCACACGGUAAACGAUGAAUACUCGCUGUUUGCGAUAUACAGCAAGCGGCCAAGCGAAAGCGUUAAGUAUUCCACCUGGGGAGUACGCCGGCAACGGUGAAACUCAAAGGAAUUGACGGGGGCCCGCACAAGCGGAGGAACAUGUGGUUUAAUUCGAUGAUACGCGAGGAACCUUACCCGGGCUUAAAUUGCAGAUGAAUUACGGUGAAAGCCGUAAGCCGCAAGGCAUCUGUGAAGGUGCUGCAUGGUUGUCGUCAGCUCGUGCCGUGAGGUGUCGGCUUAAGUGCCAUAACGAGCGCAACCCUUGUUGUCAGUUACUAACAGGUUCUGCUGAGGACUCUGACAAGACUGCCAUCGUAAGAUGUGAGGAAGGUGGGGAUGACGUCAAAUCAGCACGGCCCUUACGUCCGGGGCUACACACGUGUUACAAUGGGGGGUACAGAGGGCCGCUACCACGCGAGUGGAUGCCAAUCCCAAAAACCUCUCUCAGUUCGGACUGGAGUCUGCAACCCGACUCCACGAAGCUGGAUUCGCUAGUAAUCGCGCAUCAGCCACGGCGCGGUGAAUACGUUCCCGGGCCUUGUACACACCGCCCGUCAAGCCAUGGGAGCCGGGGGUACCUGAAGUGCGUAACCGCGAGGAGCGCCCUAGGGUAAAACUGGUGACUGGGGC